rnacentral:rRNA from 1 species
GUGGGAUCAAGCAGGCCUAGCAAUGCAAGUCGAGCGUCAGCACGCGUACUUGUACCUGGUGGCGAGCGGCGGACGGGUGAGAAAAGACGAGGAUCUGCCUGGUAGUGGGGGAUAACGCUCGGAAACUAAAGCUAAUACCGCAUACGUCCUACGGGAGAAAGCAGGGGACCUUCGGCCUUGCGCUAUAUAUGACCUAUUCUUUUACUA